GCUUGAGCCCAACCAAUCAAGCUGCUUCGUAGGGCGGGUCUUGGGGUGGCCAUAGUGGGAUUCGUAAUUUUGCUUCCAGGCAAGAACUCAAAU